rnacentral:rRNA from 1 species
GAUGAACGCUGGCGGCGUGCCUAAUACAUGCAAGUCGAGCGAACAGACGAGGAGCUUGCUCCUCUGACGUUAGCGGCGGACGGGUGAGUAACGCGUGGAUAACCUACCUAUAAGACUGGGAUAACUUCGGGAAACCGGAGCUAAUACCGGAUAAUAUAUUGAACCGCAUGGUUCAAUAGUGAAAGACGGUUUUGCUGUCACUUAUAGAUGGAUCCGCGCCGCAUUAGCUAGUUGGUAAGGUAACGGCUUACCAAGGCAACGAUGCGUAGCCGACCUGAGAGGGUGAUCGGCCACACUGGAACUGAGACACGGUCCAGACUCCUACGGGAGGCAGCAGUAGGGAAUCUUCCGCAAUGGGCGAAGGCCUGACGGAGCAACGCCGCGUGAGUGAUGAAGGUCUUCGGAUCGUAAAACUCUGUUAUUAGGGAAGAACAAAUGUGUAAGUAACUAUGCACGUCUUGACGGUACCUAAUCAGAAAGCCACGGCUAACUACGUG